rnacentral:rRNA from 1 species
CAGUCGCCGCGGUAAUACGUAGGUGGCAAGCGUUAUCCGGGAUUACUGGGCGUAAAGCGCGCGUAGGCGGUUUUUUAAGUCUGAUGUGAAAGCCCACGGCUCAACCGUGGAGGGUCAUUGGAAACUGGAAAACUUGAGUGCAGAAGAGGAAAGUGGAAUUCCAUGUGUAGCGGUGAAAUGCGCAGAGAUAUGGAGGAACACCAGUGGCGAAGGCGACUUUCUGGUCUGUAACUGACGCUGAGGCUCGAAAGCGAGGGGAGCAAACAGGAUUAGAGACCCGCGUAGUCCCUGUCUCUUAUAC